GAUGAAGAACGUAGCGAAAUGCGAUAAGUAAUGUGAAUUGCAGAAUUCAGUGAAUCAUCGAAUCUUUGAACGCACAUUGCGCCCGCCAGUAUUCUGGCGGGCAUGCCUGUUCGAGCGUCAUUACAACCCUCAGGCCCCCGGGCCUGGCGUUGGGGAUCGGCGGAAGCCCCCUGCGGGCACAACGCCGUCCCCCAAAUACAGUGGCGGUCCCGCCGCAGCUUCCAUUGCGUAGUAGCUAACACCUCGCAACUGGAGAGCGGCGCGGCCACGCCGUAAAACACCCAACUUCUGAAUGUUGACCUCGAAUCAGGUAGGAAUACCCGCUGAACUUAAGCAUAUCAAUAACGGAGGA
rnacentral:misc_RNA from 1 species